rnacentral:lncRNA from 1 species
CCUUCCUUCUGCAGGGGUAGGAAGUCGUAGGCUUCCUGUUAGAGGUGCAAUGUCUCUCUCUUCCUCUUGCGGUCUGUAAUGUGCCUUGAGUGGCAGUGGCUGAGAGUUCUCUCCUCUGGCCUCCUCACUCCAUUUUAAAUGAGAUAAAUUUGCCGAGAAUAACUCAUCAUACAUGUGAUUCAGCGAUAUUAAAGAGAGGCCGAGAAAGUAGGUUUGGAAUCAGGAAACCUGAAAUUCCACCUCAGUUUCACCACUUACCGGCAUCUUGAUCAUGGACAAAUGACAUACUCUCUGUUAACUUCAGUUUCCUACCUGUUGUCUCCCUCGGAGGAGCAUGUAUAUGAAGUUCCUCGGUUGGGGUCCACCAAAUAAACACGACUUCUUGUGGAUUCCUCUCAUUACCUCUACUAUUGCACAUAGUUUCCAGAGAAAUAACUGACUAAAUGGAAUCCUAGUGGUUUGUAUCUUUUCCCUUGAUAAAAAUGGUUUCAAUGUUAUCAUCUAUUGUCAUUAAAAAAAGCCCCAAAA